GCACGUGCAGACCGCCGCCUCCAGCGCCGCCGCCGCCGCCGUCAACGCGCAGAUCGCCAACGCCAACCGAUACUGAGCCGCCGCCCGCUGAGCGGUAUCAAGACAAACGCGCGUUUAAUAUACAACGGCUUCUGAAUGGAGAAAAUAACUAUUUCAUUAAUCAAUACAAUGAAAGCGCUUUUUAGUAUAUUAUACGUAUUUUCUCGUAAUUACCGUAUUUAUUGACACGCCUUAUCAUGAAGAGAUUUUAAAUUAUUUAAUGCUAUAAAGUCUAUAAAUAUUAAUCAAUUAAUGUGCUUGUUUUAUAUUAUACUGUUGCAAUUUACUUGUAAAUUUUUGGUUAUUAUUUUUCCGUUAAACAUGCUACAGCAUUUUCAAGAUUCCAAAUGUCAAUGUCAGUUCAUUUCGAUAAUACUUACCUAAAUAGCAUUUCAUUUUUUUAAAUAAAUUGUGUUAUUUUUACAGUAA